GCAUGGCGGCAUUCUGGAUGUAGCCACAUUCUUUGUGUCCAGCUGCUGUAAUUGUUGUCAAGGUGUGCCGUCUAAAAUGUGAGGGCUCUGGUCCUUUUUUUGUUGUUGCAUGCAGUGCUUAAAAUCACCGCUCCUUUUAGUGUGGCUGAUUACUGGCCUGGGGGAGGCGAUCAGCUGGAGCCCUGCAGUGUGUGUGAUUGUUGGUCGGCUCCAGGUGUGUGGCCAAGACGUGGAUGGGCUGUAUUUCCAAAGUUUAUAUCCUCGGCUCACCUGCUGCCAACCUCGAGCAGAGUACCAUGUUGGCCCAGCACUGCUGAGUGCAGCCUGGGCCUGUUUGGUGCAGAGGCGGUAUCACCUGUUUGGACUUUGAAGGCUGAGGCCUGGUGACACAGGCUCUUGUAAACUGUUCAACGGAUGUGCUGUGGCUUACUGCAGCAGUUAUUCCCUGGUGGUGGUAUUUUCUUCACGGUCCCCUUCUUUGAUUUUUGCGUGUGUAUGAUUUGCAGUGGUGAUUACUCUGAGGAUUCUUCUCCCCUUUUGGUUGUCCUGCCGCAGGUAUCUGUAGUGCUGCUGGCCCCGCUCCCUUUCAGGAAGAAAACUCUUACUGUGUCUAUGACUGACAGCGUGGAAGAAAAUGACGGAUAAAAUGGCACCUGAUACACUAAUGACUGUCACUUAACUUUCUCUGAGUGAUUAUUAUAUUAACAGUAUAUAGUACCAGUUAGAUAAGUAUGAGUAGAUAAGUCCAUUGCUGUUCGCAAACAGCAAUGGAUAAACAGUUCAAUCAUACAGCUAGCUAGCAAUGAUAGAAUAUAGUAACAGUUAGCUAAAAGCAAAGAGUGAAUAGUUAAAUCACAACAAAAAACAGAUAAACAGGAAAAAGUUGAAGCAGUUAGCUAACAGUAAUUCAUAAAGAGCUAAACCGGUUAAAGUCGUUACCUAACGGUAGACACACGGUUAGCUAAAUAUUAAGAGUGAACAGUUAGCCACCAGUCAUGAAUAAAAAUGACCUAAAGGAUAAA